CCUACGGGUGGCUGCAGUGGGGAAUAUUGCGCAAUGGGCGAAAGCCUGACGCAGCGACGCCGCGUGAGGGAUGAAGGUCUUCGGAUCGUAAACCUCUGUCAGCAGGGAAGUACGGUCACUGUGCUAAUCAGCAGUGAAUUUACGGUAUCUGCAAAGGAAGCACAGGCUAACUCCGUGCCAGCAGCCGCGGUAAUACGGAGGGUGCGAGCGUUAAUCGGAAUUACUGGGCGUAAAGCGAUCGUAGGCGGUAUGUCAAGUCAAGGGUGAUAGCCCCGCGCUCAACGUGGGAACUGCCUUUGAAACUGGCAAACUUGAGUGUAGGAGAGGUUAGUGGAAUUCCAGGUGUAGGAGUGAAAUGCGUAGAUAUCUGGAGGAACAUCAGUGGCGAAGGCGACUAUCUGGCACAUAACUGACGCUGAGGAGCGAAAGCGUGGGUAGCAAACAGGAUUAGAUACCCUUGUAGUC
rnacentral:rRNA from 1 species